CCGUGGUCUUUCUGGUAAAAUCCUCUCUUUUCUUGGUGGAAGGGAGUAGAGUGUGUCGGUGAGCAGUGGAUGCUGGUGCUCGGCGGCCUGGAGCUCCCCUGGAGACCAGGAAUGGAAUGGGGAGAGAAAAAAGCUUAAGGAAAAGAGAAGAUGUAGGGAAUUGAAGGCAGGUCCCUCAGAUUUCAGUAUCUAGCGAGAGGAUGCAACCGUUUUCUGCCGGCUGCUUGCACAGCAAAUCAUCACUGCAGGUAAAACAGCCUGGUUUGUUCGGAAUAGAUCCUGGCAACUCAAACCAUCCGUUGUAGCUGCCGAUAGUGGAGAAGGGGCUAUGGGGCAGUGGUGGGACGAGCUGCUUUUGUGCCCAUCAAUCAAGGAACACGCUACCGGUAAGAGCAUAGCAUGGGGCAUGCCGCUGUGUGUGCACAGCAUCCUGACCCAGGUCAGCUUUGUGCUGCUCCUACGCUAACUGCUUCCUUCACAAACAGUGCUGCGUUACAAGGAGGUUUCCAGAGUCGGACUUGCUUGUUUCCAAUGGCAAAGGCAGCUCUCGCAGGCGUUCAUUGAUUUGACUGGGGUUGACACAAGCAGCUUGGUGAGCUCAGCUCAACCAGCGUCCCCAGAAAGAGACUGACAGCACCUCAGCAAGCGGAGCCCAGGGCAAUCCCAGCAGCGCAACAUUGCCACGUCCUCCAGCCGUGUGGAGCCUGCCAGAGCCUGGGAAUGCCGAGAGUUCCGAGACCGAAUCCAGGGAACGGGAAGCGAGCAGGUCCCUGCAGCCGGUAGAUGGCACUGACUCAUUUCACUGCUCCAUGGAAGCCUCCAGCGCGUUGCAGCCUCCCCCCCCGCCACCCCGGACCUUUUACACCACCUGCCUUUAGAGGCAGCCGUCACGAAGAACAUAUUUGGAGGUUGAGUAAGGCUCUGGCUUCCUUUUGGAACUGUUUGUACCGGGAUACAAAUCGCCUGUCAGCGCGCUGCGGAGGUUCGGGGGAUGUGACACUGAUGAGGUGUAGCUGGGGCUGCGGCACAGCCCUCGCGUCUCCCUGGAGCCUGUGUCUGUUGGGCUGAUGCUGUGAUGAUCUUACCUGAGGAGAUGGGAUAAGGCAGGAAUAUUAUGGUCCUUUCUCUCUGGCUUUCCUGGGCCAUGUGCUAAAAGGAAGAAGCAAAAGGGAGGACUUGUUUGCCUUCCACUUCCAGCCUCUGGUCUGGUUGUGCUGCAGAGAUAGAGCACUUUGUCCCCAUGAACCUUGCUGUGCUGGGGGUCUGUUUUGUCCUCCCCCCUACCUGGGUAUCAUCUAUUUCCCAUGCUCUUGAGCAGUGCCAUCAGGGCUUGCUGGCAACUGGUUGUCCUCGAGUAGUUGUGUUAAACUGAGGCAAUGAGGUGGCACUGAUCUGCUCGAGGCCAUGGGAAAGGCUCCCUGUCUCUACGAGGGUCUGGUUGUCAGGAGAAGCCACUGGAUGCAGAGGCAGAAUUGCCCGUUGAAGUGUGGGGAUUUUAAUGGAUGAACAGAUGGGCAAGGAAGAGCUCAAACGCCUGCUGGUAAAGCUGCCACCCAGGUCAAAGCAAGGUGGUUGUGACAAAUGGUUUUGACAUUCUUGGCUGGGCUCUUUGCAAGGCAAAUGGAAACCACGUCCCGGAUCCAAGUGCAAGACCAAAGGGAUUUUUAAUUAAAGAGAAAAAGGAAGGGUAAGCAAAAAGCAAGAGCUGGAUUGCACCGUGGUGAUUACUCCUGCUAGCUGCAGAGGCUCUGAGCGAGGGGGGUCAAGGCUAAGGGAACGGUUUAAAGCUCUUAGUACAGACAUUGAGAAGCACAAACAGCAGACUGAAUAGAAAGCUGAAAACAAAGCACCAAGAUGGUGAUGAACAGAGGGCUUUGUUGGCCCUCUUAACAAAUAAUGAGGGAUGAGCCUCUGGGACAGAUUGGUUUGUGGCGCUGGGAAUAAAUGGACAAAAGGAGGACUUUCAAAGCAACGCUGCAGCUGAGCUUGUAACAUCAGACCAGUGAGCUUGUUUCAACCAGCAGGUCCCAAGCAAAGCCACUCUGCUGUGUCUGGGUAUUAUGAGGAAGGCAGUUUAGAGGGAAGAAGGGAAUAAGGAGUUCCAUCUGUGUGGAAGAAAAGCUCUUUCACGGUU